UUUAUCGAAUUUUUAGACAAUUCAAUUUAACAAAUAAAAACAAACCAUUCUAUCGGAAAGGAGCAUAAUAAAAUGACCAAACAUACAACGCAAUACCAACCAACAACUUCAAAUAUUUUAGUCAUUUUAUUAUGCUAUUAGGACUGGAACUUUAGUAAAGAAUCUACUAAAUGUUUAAGUCCUAUUUCUAGUUGAAUGGGACUC
rnacentral:sRNA from 1 species